GCAUAUUUUUUCUUAUUUUUUAGGCAAAAAUUAGAGCAAAAAUCAAGUAAAAAUAUCAUAAAAAAUAAAAUUUAUAGCCUUUGGUGCACGGUGGACUGGUCGCUUGGUCCUCAGAAGCAAUGGCACAAUCCAUAAGAAUAGUUCAUGGUGUUUUGGCGUGGUCUAUGGGCGAGCGGAAGAAAAUUUGAACCCUUCCAAUGGUUGAUAUCAAUUUUGAG
rnacentral:lncRNA from 1 species